rnacentral:rRNA from 1 species
AGCGAACGCUGGCGGCAGGCCUAACACAUGCAAGUCGAACGGAUCCUUCGGGAUUAGUGGCGGACGGGUGAGUAACACGUGGGAACGUGCCCUUUGGUUCGGAACAACUCAGGGAAACUUGAGCUAAUACCGGAUGUGCCCUUCGGGGGAAAGAUUUAUCGCCAUUGGAGCGGCCCGCGUCUGAUUAGCUAGUUGGUGAGGUAAAGGCUCACCAAGGCGACGAUCAGCAGCUGGUCUGAGAGGAUGAUCAGCCACGUUGGGACUGAGACACGGCCCAAACUCCUACGGGAGGCAGCAGUGGGGAAUCUUGCGCAAUGGGCGAAAGCCUGACGCAGCCAUGCCGCGUGAAUGAUGAAGGUCUUAGGAUUGUAAAAUUCUUUCACCGGGGACGAUAAUGACGGUACCCGGAGAAGAAGCCCCGGCUAACUUCGUGCCAGCCGCCGCAGUAACAC